ACGGUCCAUAAUGGACAAUGGUCC
rnacentral:siRNA from 1 species